AUAUCAAACAAAUAAUUAUAUCUAACAUUAUAUCUAAUUACUAAAAUAACAAAUAAUUACUUCUAAUGGCUAAAAUUUAUUGAGAAAAAAAUUAAAAAAUAUAUAAAUUAAAAAAAAUUGUUCUCACCUUUAACUCUUUCGUGAACAGUGAUGGUGAUAGUGACGGCAACCGACGAUGGCGGUGGCGGCCCGACGGUGGCGGCGGCCCUACGAAACCAGACAAGCC
rnacentral:lncRNA from 1 species